UACGAAGGGGGCUAGCGUUGCUCGGAAUCACUGGGCGUAAAGGGUGCGUAGGCGGGUCUUUAAGUCAGGGGUGAAAUCCUGGAGCUCAACUCCAGAACUGCCUUUGAUACUGAGAGCUUGAGUCCGGGAGAGGUGAGUGGAACUGCGAGUGUAGAGGUGAAAUUCGUAGAUAUUCGCAAGAACACCAGUGGCGAAGGCGGCUCACUGGCCCGGUACUGACGCUGAGGCACGAAAGCGUGGGGGAGCAAACAGG
rnacentral:rRNA from 1 species